CAGGGAGACAAUAAAUUGAUUGUAAUGUCUGAGUAAUUAUCUUAGGCUGCAAUCCUGUCACCUUAAGGUCGAUCGGUACCUCAGAUUUUUGUAUUAAUUUUAUAAUUAAUCCUUUAAUUUCAGUUCCUAAACUUGUCUAGGUCACACCCAACAAGGGUUUCUCCUGGGCCAUUAGCUCAGGUGGUUAGAGCGCACCCCUGAUAAGGGUGAGGUCCCUGGUUCAAGUCCAGGAUGGCCCAUUCGUUGUUGGGGGUAUAGCUCAGUUGGUAGAGCGCCUGCUUUGCAAGCAGGAUGUCAGCGGUUCGAGUCCGCUUACCUCCACUGAAACCUACCCUGGUAACUAAAUUCCGGAGAAAUUUGUAGUUGUGAUUUAGAUUGUCUAUUUGAAUAGAACCUAGCUUCUUAUCAUCUUUUUAGAGUUGAUAACAUGCUGGGCUCCCAUGGAUUAAUUCCAUGUGAAUUCAGUAGAACCUUGAAAACUGCAUAGAUAAAAAGAAUAAAGCAUCUCAUGGAUGCAUAAUUCUGUUCAUUAAUUUAGUUUGAAAACUAAAUUAUUAACAAACAGGAUUCAUGUUUAAUUCUUGAGUAAUAGCUGAGCACAAUUAAUUUUUUAAUUGUAUUAA
rnacentral:tRNA from 1 species